GAAAGUAAUGAAGGGCGUACGGUGGAUGCCUAGGCUCUUACAGGCGAUGAAGGACGUGAUAAGCUGCGAAAAGCCGCGGUGAGGCGCAAAUGGCCCUUGACCCGCGGAUCUCCGAAUGGGACAACCCAAUAUCUUGAAGAGAUAUUAUCCCGCCGAUGCGGGAGGCGAACGCGGGGAACUGAAACAUCUUAGUACCCGCAGGAAAAGAAAAUAAAGAAUGAUUCCCCCAGUAGUGGCGAGCGACCGGGGAAGAGCCCAAACCGACGUUGUCUCGGCAUCGUCGGGGUUGUAGGACCGCGCCAUCGCAAGAAAGGCCGUGAGUGGAAGCGACUGGAAAGCCGCGCCAUAGAGGGUGACAGCCCCUUACACGAAGCAGCCCGAAGCGUAGCGGACUCCUGAGUAGCGCGGGACACGAGUAAUCCUGUGUGAAUCCGCCGGGCCCAUCCGGCAAGGCUAAAUACUCGUAAGAGACCGAUAGUGAACCAGUACCGUGAGGGAAAGGUGAAAAGUACCCCUUGCAGGGGAGUGAAAGAGUUCCUGAAACCGUACGCCUACAAGCGGUCGGAGCAUCUUGAAUGAUGUGACGGCGUGCCUUUUGCAUAAUGAACCUACGAGUUGCCGUCACCAGCGAGGUUAAGUGCGAUGACGCACCGAGCCGCAGCGGAAGCGAGUCUUAAAAGGGCGCGAUAGUUGGUGGAGGCAGACGCGAAACCGAGUGAUCUACACUUGUCCAGGAUGAAGUCCCGGUAACACGGGAUGGAGGUCCGCACCAAUAAGCGUUGAAAAGCUUCUGGAUGAGGUGAGUGUAGGAGUGAAAGGCCAAUCAAACUCGGAGAUAGCUCGUACUCCCCGAAAGGCAUUUAGGUGCCGCCUGUGGCGUUCCCGACGUGAGGUAGAGCGACUGAUAGGAUGCGAGGGCUUCACCGCCUAUCAAGUCCUGACAAACUCCGAAUGCACGUCGGCCAAGCCAUGGAGUAAGGGCAUGGGUGCUAAGGUCCGUGCCCGAGAGGAGAAGAAUCCAGACCACCGGCUAAGGUCCCGAAAUACUGGUUAAGUUAGACUAACGCAGUCCGGCCCCCAAGACAGCUAGGAUGUUGGCUUGGAAGCAGCCAUUCAUUCAAAGAGUGCGUAACAGCUCACUAGUCGAGGAGCUGGGCGUGGAUAAUAAUCGGGUAUGAAACCAGUUACCGAAGCCGUGGGAUGCUUAAGCAUCGGUAGGGGAGCAUUGCAUGCGGCUUAGAAGGCGGGGCGCGAGCCCCUCUGGAGCGCAUGGAAACGCAAAUGUAGGUAUAAGUAACGACAAGGGGGGUGGGAUGCCCCCCCGCCGAAAGACCAAGGUUUCCUGAACAACGCUAAUCGGUUCAGGGUCAGUCGGGUCCUAAGCAUAAGCCGUAUGGCGAGGGCGAUGGACGAAACGGUUAAUAUUCCGUUACUGUCUUGGUGUGUGACGCGGCGACGGAGUAGUGACACGGCCGCCUCCUGACGGAAAAGGAGGUUGAAGCGCAAAGGUGUCGAGGAAGGCAGGCAAAUCCACCUUCCGAGCCGAAGCGCGAAAGUACGCCGGGCCCUUUGGGGCAAGGCGAUAGUGCCGGUAAUCAGACUUCCAAGAAAACCCGCUAAACUUCAGCACCAAGUCACCCGUACUCCAAACGGACACACGUGGUCGGGUAGAAUAUACUAAGGCGCUUGGGAGAUUCACGGUUAAGGAACUAGGCAAAUUGACCCCGUACCUUCGGAAUAAGGGGUCCUCGCUUUUGCGAGGCGCAGAGAAUAGGUCCAGGCAACUGUUUAACAAAAACACAGGGCUGUGCAAAUUUGAAAGAAGAAGUAUACAGCCUGACACCUGCCCGGUGCCGGAAGGUUAAGAGGAGAGCUCAUCAGCGAUGAGAAGGCUUGAAUUGAAGCCCCGGUAAACGGCGGCCGUAACUAUAACGGUCCUAAGGUAGCGAAAUUCCUUGUCGGGUAAGUUCCGACCUGCACGAAUGGUGUAAUGAUCCGGACACUGUCUCAACCGUGAUCCCAGUGAAAUUGUAGUAUCGGUGAAGAUGCCGAUUACCCGCGAUGGGACGAAAAGACCCCGUGAACCUUUACUAUAGC
rnacentral:rRNA from 1 species